UGGCAGGACCAUUUCUUCCCCUGGACCUUCUUAGGAACAUAGAAGAUCGCAAUAUUAUGCAGCCAAACCCUUUUUGGCUUCCUCGUCUGAUCUAAAUGCUGCACAAAGGUUCUAAAGUUUAGACACAACGCAGAACAUAAUAAGAGGACAAGGAAGACGAAGAAGAAAGAAAAAUUCUUCUUUUAACAAAUGUGUGAAACAGGGGUAAGGAAGAAGACAACACAAGCGAGAUAGAGUAAACAUAAAACAGAGCAGAAAAAUAAAAUAAAAACAGGUCAGAUUCACCUUACUUCCCCCUUAGUUUGUCUACUUUUUCUUAAAUGUGACUCGUUGAAUGCUCCAUGGU